rnacentral:tRNA from 1 species
GUGGGUGUAGCUCAACUGGUUAGAGUACUGGGUUGUGGUCCCAGGGGUUGGGAGUUCAAGUCUCCUCACUCACCCCA